rnacentral:misc_RNA from 1 species
GAGUUGCGUCGCUCGCAUUAUGCUGAUUUAGAGGGAGGAGGAGGAGAAGGAGCAGGGGUCUGGAAACUAGGGGAGCCGAAAGAAGCCAUUACUGUCAGCAUGUGCACUUCAUUUGCCCAAAGCCACGGAUAACAUUUCUGAAUGCACGCGCUCCACUACAGCAACUUUUACUGCCGCCACCAGCUGCAGAAAAAAGACAAAAUAAGCCAAAAACCAACCAAGUGGCAAGAGCUGCAAGAAACCCAUUGCGAUCACGUUCCAGGCACCUUUUUAUACCUUAUGACUCUGAUUGAUGGCCGUUGCCAAAAUAUAAAUGCCAAAAUAUCACACGCCA